GGAAGGACUACAGCUCAGUGGUAAACCCUCUGCUUUGCAUGCAGAAGGCCCUGCGUUCAACCCUCGGCCUCUCCA